CUCCAGAUCUCUCCGAUGGGAAGUAGUGCAUUCAGUGAACAUAGCGGCUUUGUAACAAUGAUUAUAGCCAUACAGUUGAACUUGCCUGAUAAUGUGACGUCCUCCAGAGAUGACCCGCCUUAAAUAGGUUUCUAUCUGGAGAUGUUGCUGAAGACUUAACUUUGAGAAGGGCUGUGGAGAUGAUCCAUAAGUAGGAAGAAGAGGUGUACAACAACAAAAAAAGGUUCAGCAUCAGUCGCAAGAGCUGAAUUUUUAAGACUCUUGGCUCUUGAGGACACUCGUAUGGAGCUGACACAAGAGCAGUUUGAAGGAAUCAGGAGAUGUGAUGCUUGAUUAAAAAUUGAGAGCAAAAUGAGCCAAACCACAUGUAUUG